UGAACUCGGCAAAAUGACCCCGUAACUUCGGGAGAAGGGGUGCUGAUCGCAAGAUCAGCCGCAGUGAAUAGGCCCAGGCGACUGUUUAUCAAAAACACAGGUUUCUGCAAAAUCGUAAGAUGAAGUAUAGGGGCUGACGCCUGCCCGGUGCUGGAAGGUUAAGAGGAUGGGUUAGCGCAAGCGAAGCUCAGAAUUGAAGCCCCAGUAAACGGCGGCCGUAACAAUAACGGUCCUAAGGUAGCGAAAUUCCUUGUCGGGUAAGUUCCGACCCGCACGAAAGGCGUAACGAUCUGGGCACUGUCUCAACGAGAGACUCGGUGAAAUUAUAAUACCCGUGAAGAUGCGGGUUACCCGCGACAGGACGGAAAGACCCCAUGGAGCUUUACUGUAGCUUGAUAUUGGGUGUUUGUACAACUUGUACAGGAUAGGUAGGAGCCGUAGAAGUCGGGACGCUAGUUUCGACGGAGGCAUCGGUGGGAUACUACCCUCGUUGUAUGAACACUCUAACCCACGCCGGCAAUCACGGCGGGAGACAGUGUCAGGUGGGCAGUUUGACUGGGGCGGUCGCCUCCUAAAAGGUAACGGAGGCGCCCAAAGGUUCCCACGGAAUGGUUGGAAAUCAUUCGCAGAGUGUAAAGGCAUAAGGGAGCUUGACUGCGAGACCUACGAGUCGAGCAGGGACGAAAGUCGGGCUUAGUGAUCCGGUGGUUCCGCAUGGAAGGGCCAUCGCUCAACGGAUAAAAGCUACCCUGGGGAUAACAGGCUUAUCUCCCCCAAGAGUCCACAUCGACGGGGAGGUUUGGCACCUCGAUGUCGGCUCAUCGCAUCCUGGGGCUGUAGUCGGUCCCAAGGGUUGGGCUGUUCGCCCAUUAAAGCGGUACGCGAGCUGGGUUCAGGACGUCGUGAGACAGUUCGGUCCCUAUCCGUCGCGGGCGCAGGAAAUUUGAGAGGAUCUGUCCUUAGUACGAGAGGACCGGGAUGGACAUACCGCUGGUGUACCAGUUGUUCUGCCAAGGGCAUCGCUGGGUAGCUAUGUAUGGAUGAGAUAAACGCUGAAAGCAUCUGAGUGCGAAACUCACCUCGAGAUAAGAUUUCCCAUUCCUUUAUGGAGUUAAGACCCCUGAGAGAUGAUCAGGUAGAUAGGAUGGAAGUGGAAGUGCGGCGACGCAUGGAGCGGACCAUUACUAAUCGGUCGAGGACUUAACC
rnacentral:rRNA from 1 species